CCCACCUAUCCCACCUGAAAAUUAAAAUAUGUAUAUUAAAAAAAAUUAAAAGGAAAACCAACAACUUGUUAGAGUAAACAAAAACCAGAAACUUAAGAUUCAAAUCAGAGCCUUGUAGAAGAACUGGCUGUGCAACAAUAAUAUUAAAAACUGUUUUAAUCCUUGUGAACCCCCAGAAUCAAUUUUCAGCUUUUCAUCUGCAUUGAUAAUCUUCACAUUAAAUGUAAUGGGAAAAUAACAAUUUUAAGAAUUACGAAGAAAAGUGUCCAUUUCAUGUUCUAGAUCAGGGGUAUCAAACUGGCAGCCGAUGGGCCAGAUGUGUCAUGUGCAGGCCAUGCCCACCCCAGGUCUGUGAAUAGGAAAAAUGUCCUAAAGCAUCACGUGAUGGUAACGUGAUGCUGCAAAUUUGACACCCGUGUUCAAGGUGAUAUUAGAUUGAGCCUUUGGAACAUAAAUAAUCAAUGACUUUUUCCUUUUAUUUAGACUUGCUUUCUUAAUUAUCCUAUAAUAUUUCUUCAAGCAGUACUUUGUAUUGAGUACAGUACAAAUUCUUCAUCGACCCCUUGGCCUUUAUUGCUGCACAGUGAUGUCUGGUGCUGAAGUCAUCUGAAGUGAAAAGUGUGGUGGCCAAGUGGUGUGACUCUCUGUGGGGUAUUGAGCACAAUGGCUCAAGUGAUUAGGAUGCUGAGCUGGAGAUUGGCAAGCCCGUGUUCGAGAUCCAAAUGCUACCAUGGGGCAAGAUAAACUCCUGCUGAGGACAUGAAAGGAGCCCUGAGCAACAGUGAUGUCACCAGCUAAUCCUGUCAACCUGAAAGUGCCUUGGGGCCUCCCACACGAGGUUCCUAGACCCGGACUCCUGGACUCGGAUGAUUCAGAAAGUGAGGGAGAAGACCUGGCAAGUCCUGCUUCUCUUGAGCCCUUUCCCUCCCUGGCACCCACUCAAAGGGAGGAGGAGGGGCCGGCAAGACCUGAUUCUCUGGAGCCUUCUUCUGAUUUGGCAACGCCCCAAGAACAGUUUUGGAGUGAUGAAAGACUGCGCAGGCAUGACCGGCGCGCGCAGCAGAAGCAGCGUUGGGAUAAAGCCAAGUCAUAAUUGUCAAGCAGUGACAUCUGCAGAGACUAUAAAUAGGAGGCGGGACUUCCUGGUUUUUUGUCUUGGACAAAGCAAUGAAUUUGCGCGGGCAAACUGUAUCAAUGGAGGGAAGAAUAUAUUCGUGAGUAAUUCUGGCCUUAUCUAUAAUUUCCUCGUUAUCUCCAGAAACUUGGCAGGCCCGUGGGUAGACGUGGCCAGGACAUCUAUUUAUGUAAAUAAAAGGAGAAAAGAAGGCCUCUGACUGACUCUUUGCUGGGAGUAUUGGGGGGAGGGAAACA